AUCCUCUGCUGUUGUGAGAUGCAAAAAUAUAUUCGUCUGCUAUUGUUUUUUUUUGUUUCAUUUUCAUUACAGUUUUUAUUAUUUUUUAAUAUUCGUUAAUUAUUUCGUUUAUGAAAAAUGUAGAUUAGUGGUUAUCCUGUUGGAUGGUUCCAAGUCAAUCGUCAAGCCUAUUACUCUUUGUUGUAGCGAAUGUGAAUAACUUUGUAAGACAAAAGGUGUUGAAGUACGCAAAAACAGCAAAGCCAGACUCUUAGUUUAUAUACAGAAGCCUUCUGUACUUGAGGAAAUGGCAAGCAUAAUUUUGAAAGAAAGAAUCUUCUGUAAUCGUUCAACUUAUACAGAUUUUUCCGAGCUGGUGAGGGAGUCAAUCGAAUCGUUUCUCUUUUGUUCCAGUGGAUGGGUGUCUUUGAGUUUGUUCCACGGCUGCUCUACACCAGUACCAAAAAUGACGUAAAACAAAUUCGUCAAAGCGUAGAUGCCUGCUGAAAGGAAGAAAACCGUUUGCCAUUGAUCGAUGGAGCCCUUGGUUGUCGAAGAUGUGAAAACACAUUAAAAUUGACAACAUACGGUGCCAGAAAUCCGCAAAUGCUGGCGACACAGUUUGUAACGCCCAUCAUAGUACCGGCGUAAUUCGAAGCAAUGUCGAUAUGAUUGGCCUAUAGAUACAAAUUCAACGUAUAAUUGCUUCAAACUAAAAAGAAAAGGUGAGCUGAAAGGAAAUUCAACACUCUUAAUUACUGUGCAAAAAUGCAUUGUUCUUUGCAUUUGUUUACCAAAGUAAGAGUGGCAACUCGGUCACAGCCUGUGUAACUCGCGCCAAUGAGUCCUAAACCUGGUAUCAGGAGCCCUGAAUAUACAUACUGCAGGUGUCAAUUUAGAAGGCCGGAAGCUCACCGUUGAAUAGCAAUUAUAUUUACCUAUGCAGUGACACUAAAGGCGAUGGAAAACAGCCACAUUGCUAAAUACGGAAGGGCUGAAAGCAAUCCGUUCUAGUUCAAAAUCAGCUUACCGCUUUCAAGUCAAAGUGCAGGACGGUCUUCAUGUACGUCGGCAGUUCUGUAAGUAGCAUGGAAAGACCCCAGCUAUGGCCCAAAUGGGCAACUAGAAUAGCCCACAGGUGAAUGGAAGUCAUG